AACGAACGCUGGCGGCGUGCUUAACACAUGCAAGUCGAACGGGUUUAUUGGAUGUAGCAAUACAUUCAAUAGAUUAGUGGCGCACGGGUGAGUAACACGUAGGCAACCUACCCCUCAGUGGGGGGACAACAGAGGGAAAGGACUGCUAAUACCGAAUGAUGUAUAUCUUCCGCCAUGGAGGACAUACCAAAGACGGCCUCUAUAUAUAAGCUGUCACGGAAAGAUGGGCCUGCGUCUGAUUAGCCAGUUGGCGGGGUAAUGGCCCACCAAAGCGACGAUCAGUAGCCGGUCUGAGAGGGAUGAACGGCCACAUUGGGACUGAGACACGG
rnacentral:rRNA from 1 species